UUUUGAGUACAGGGGACAAAA
rnacentral:miRNA from 1 species